AAACAUCGCUCCUCGAAUUUACAAUAUGAGGAGUCGGACCUGCCCAGUGAUAAUUUAUUAAACGGCCGCGGUACUCUGACCGUGCAAAGGUAGCAUAAUCAUUUGCCCUAUAAUUGAGGGCUAGUAUGAAGGGUUUGACAAGAGCAAGACUGUCUCUUAGGAAAUUUAUAAAAUUUAUCUUUUAGGUGAAGAUACCUAAAUUCAAUUAAAAGACAAGAAGACCCUAUCGAGCUUAAAAUUUAUUUAUGUAAAAAUAAAAGUAUUUUACAUUUUUAAACAUAAAACACUUUGGUUGGGGCGACUAAGGAACAAAAAAAGCUUCUUCUUAAAAACUUACUUAUAAGUAUUGAUCCGUUAUUAACGAUCUAAAGAAAUAGUUACCGUAGGGAUAACAGCAUAAUCUUUUUUAAGAGUUCUUAUCGAAAAAUAGGUUUGUGACCUCGAUGUUGGACUAGAAUAUCCUGAUAGAUGCAGCUGUCUUCAAGGGUUGGUCUGUUCGACCAUUAAAAUUCUACAUGAUCUGA
rnacentral:rRNA from 1 species